rnacentral:rRNA from 1 species
ACGCUCGACACCUACGGGAGGCAGCAGUGAGGAAUAUUGGUCAAUGGGCGCUAGCCUGAACCAGCCAAGUAGCGUGAAGGAUGAAGGCUCUAUGGGUCGUAAACUUCUUUUAUAUAAGAAUAAAGUGCAGUAUGUAUACUGUUUUGUAUGCAUUAUAUGAAUAAGGAUCGGCUAACUCCGUGCCAACAGCCGCGGUAAUCUGAGCGGGCUGGCAAGGC